AGUCGGCGAUCCCGGUCCGGACUCGGAGACUCUCCCACAACGUUCCCAGCAAGUCUGGAGGUGACGGUGCGCUGAUGAAGAGGAGGCUGAGCAUCAUGUGACCUUCAUCGCUUUGCUUGGAGACGGAGGCAGCAGGGGGCCUCUCGUUACCGUGGCAACGGGAUGCCGCUCCAGCCCAUUACCGUGGCAACGGGAUGCCGCUCCAGCCCAUUACCGUGGCAACGUCUUUAUUUUUUUAUGUCUCUUUAUUUUGUUUGAAGGUUUUAAUCAUAACCAAGCGUGAAUUAAUUGGUAACCGUAGCAACGUGAUGGAGCUGCUGGAGGAUUUCAGUUUUAUUAUUUCUGAAGUUUGUCUUAUUUCUGUCAGUAGAACCAGAACCAGAACCUCCAGCCGGUUGGCAUCACGCUGCGUCUGCAGGUCCGACUAAAUGCCACUCACAAGAUGGCGGCUGCAUCACAGCUCUGCUUCAGUCUGGCCUUCAUUUUAGAUCAGUGCAUUCUUACUUUAUGCUGAUGUGAACUUUUUGUAAUCUGUUUCACUUCUAUAUUUUUGUCUGUGUUGGUUUUUAACUGUUCGGCGACCAGGAGAAUCCUGAGAGAUACUGUAAAAUAAAAUGCUUUAUUCUGAU